rnacentral:rRNA from 1 species
AGCGAACGCUGGCGGCAGGCUUAACACAUGCAAGUCGAGCGGGCCCUUCGGGGUCAGCGGCGGACGGGUGAGUAACGCGUGGGAACGUGCCCUCUGGUCUGGAAUAACCCUGGGAAACUAGGGCUAAUACCGGAUACGCCCUUGUGGGGAAAGGCUUGCUGCCGGAGGAUCGGCCCGCGUCUGAUUAGCUAGUUGGUGGGGUAACGGCCUACCAAGGCGAAGAUCAGUAGCUGGUCUGAGAGGAUGAUCAGCCACACUGGGACUGAGACACGGCCCAGACUCCUACGGGAGGCAGCAGUGGGGAAUAUUGGACAAUGGGCGCAAGCCUGAUCCAGCCAUGCCGCGUGAGUGAUGAAGGCCUUAGGGUUGUAAAGCUCUUUUAUCCGGGACGAUAAUGACGGUACCGGAGGAAUAAGCCCCGGCUAACCUCGUGCCAGCCGCCGCCGUAA